rnacentral:lncRNA from 10 species
AGUCAUAUGUCCAGAUCAUGCAGGACCCUGAAGAUAACAGAAAGGGCUCUUCAUUCUGUUAUUUUCAGUAAGAUGGAAGAGAAUUUGGGGGUUAAAGGUGAGGACUGGCAUGGCCUAAAGUGUGUUUUAAUAGGAUCACUGUGACUUCUGUGCUAAAAGCAGACUGCAAGGGACAGAAGCUGAAGCAGGAGAGGCUGGUUCCUGAUUUUUAUUCUAUGAGCUCAGGAUGAUGAACCUGAUCCUAAAAUCUGAGACACAUGUCUUAAAAUUGGGGCUAUCUCAGAAAAUAGAGGAGGGAAAAUAGAGAAGAGUAAGAAAAAGUGAUGGAGGAAGGAAGAGGAAAAGAAGCAAGGAUCCAAAAUGCAAAUGUGGGACAUUUUAGAAGAGCAGAACGUUGCAUUUCAGCCUUCCUGUCUGAUAUAACCCAUCUGGUGACUGCAUUCAAAAGAGCCCUACCAAGAAUAUUUUCAUGGAGUUAUUUUUCCACUGUGUAUUUCACACUUCAUCUUUGCAGGAGAAUGGAUGGAUUUACUUGGCACGUAGCAGGGGACAGUCUGUGGAAAGAAGUGAGAAGGAUAAUCCAAUAGCAAAAGUGAGGGGUGAUGAAGAGUGAAAGGUACCAACGUCCCCUUCCGCAUAUUCCUCUCCACUCUCUCAGUAUUGGAAUCUAAGUCUGAAGUUUUAGACAAGGCUCAGGGACGGCUUAAACUGUAGAUGCAGUUCCCUUCUCUAGUCCCAAAGGCUCCCAGUCAGCCCUAGGCCUUGUGUAGGGAGCUUCCAAAUGCCUACUCAAGGUUUAAUUAAUUUUCUGCAAAAAAUGAUUGGUUGACAUGACAGCAAUAAACAUCAAAUUCCAUUAAUUAAUACUGAGACAUCAGUGUCCACGCUGCUUCUCAAUUACACAUUCAGAGGCAGCCACGCUUAUGCUGGCAUCAAUUUGGUCGUGAAGCCCAGUAAGGGCUGUUAAAAUGGAAAGAGGACCAAGGGGAGGGAGGGGUAGGGGGGUGGCAUCUGUUCUUAUGCAGAGAUAAUCAGCUUGGAAGAAUUCACACUCCAAAGCCCACUCCCCAGAGAAGGGUUUAAGAGACCUAGAUGAAAGGAUUUAAAUUUGGUUGGGUGAGGCAUUUUCAUUUUGCUGAUGGCCUGGAAGGGAACUAUCAGCUUGAUGAAAACAAAGCUUCCCUCGGGUUCUAAGACAUAUUCUUCAAACUGGCUCCCCUCCCAUUGUUCUUUCUUUCUCUCUUUCUUUUUUUUUUUUUUUUUAUUAGAUGAACUCAUUUAUUUGACAUAUUAAAUUAGACAAAGAAAUGUAUAUGUAACCAGAUAAAAACAAUCACAUUCUCAUACUACUUGAACACACAGCAGUGGUCAAAAAUAAUGGAUUGUAAAAUGGACCCCAGGAUUUAAUGCAAAAACCACCCCAUACGAGGAGCUACAGUCAUCUCCAAUUUCAUGUUAAUUCCGAAGAGAGUCAAAGGGGAACAAAAAGCAAUCUUUGCUUCUUCCACUCAAGAAAAAACCCUAAAGGGACCACAGCUCCCAUCAGGCACAUGCUUUAGGGCCUGGAGACAAAGUGAAAUGUUCUCAUGCACACAUGAAGGGUUUGGUCAUGGAGAUAAAGCAAUGUGAUUAAAUCUUGAUAGAUUUUUGUUUUAAGAGUGAAAAGAAAAAAAAAAAAAACUGGCCUUGUUUACCUGGUUACAAAGAGUGCUGUUGGUAAUCCCUGGUAAAUUAGCAUCUUGAUGAGCAUAUUUUCCCUCCCAGGAUGAAGGCACCAAGGAAGAAUCUAUUUGAGGCCGUCUCCGGCCCAUUCCCACAUGGUGGCUCCAUCCCUACCCCUUCAUAAGCUCUGCCCCUGGAAGCAGUUGUUUCAUUAUUCCAGAAAUUUUAUGAUAAUUGUUUGUGACUUCAAUUUAGAGAUUAUAAAAAUAAAACCCCAGCCCCUAUUCCAGAAAUUUUAUGAUAAUUGUUUGUGACUUCAAUUUAGAGAUUAUAAAAAUAAAACCCUAGCCCCACCCAGCCUCAGAGGACAAUAGGCAAAGUUGAUCAUUGUUACAUUUCUUCCAUACCUUUAUAGGGAAGUAUUAUUCCCUUAUUAAUAAUUUAAUGAUCUUUUCCACUUUAAGGAUGGAGAGACAAAGACCCAAAAAGUGAAGCAGUUUGCCCAAAGUCACUCUCCAUAUGGGUUACAGGUCCCUAAUAGAUACUGAGUGUUCAGAACAAGGGAGCAACGGAAGGGGGUGGGCUGAAACAAGAACAUGCUUACUGCAUGCUCCAGCUGGGCCUGGAGGCUCCAGGUGCAGAGGCUGAUGGAGUUAAGAUAGGGAGGACUCUUUAUUAUGAUUUAUUUCUGUCACCAUGUUUCAAAAGGUUGGAGAGAAGGUGACUGGCCUAGACUAAAAAGUUGGAGCUGCACAGAUAGAAAUUAAAUGGUAGAGGUUAGGAUGUAAUGAUUUUGGAUUCAGAUAUCCUCUGGUUAUAAAAAAAUAAUGAAGAGAAAAGAAAAGGCCAAUCUGACACAAAGGAUUGGACCUAAUGCUGAGAAAGGAGUCAAAAUAUUUCUUUCUAUUCCCAGGCCCCAUCACUAACUUGCAGAACAAUCUUGAUCACCUCGCUUAAUCUCUCUGAUCCACAAUCUCCCAUUUGUUUGAGGAUACUUGGUUAAACCUGCUCUGUUAUUGGGGUUGAGAUGGGAUAAGAAUCAAAUGGCAUUUGUUGAGCAGAAAACUCCAUUCAUUUAAAAAGACCUAUACAUGGGGUGGAAGUUGGUUAUCUACCACUUAGAGAAUAAUGGCUAGGGCUAAUGAGCUUUUAAUAUGUCCCAGGCACUAGGCUAGAUAUUUGGCAAACUAGUCCAUUCAAUCUUCACAAAUAUCCUGUGAAGUAAGUACUAGCAUUGCUCUAGGUUGCAAGAUGAGGAAACUGAGGCUCAGAGAUGUCAAGAUACUUGCCUGAGAGUUGCACAACAAGUAGGUGGCUGAGCUGAGAUUGAAAACAAAAUUUGUCUAAUUCUGGAGCUUGAGCACUCACACUCUGGGCCAUUCCACACGGCAAAAGCACUGUAGUGUAAUUCAGAAAAAGUCAUCACUCGCCUCCAUUGAACACUAGGUGAAAAACAUCAAAUGGGAGCAUACACUUGCAAAAAGAGAACAAUUUCUGGCCCUAAACAACCUCCUAUUUUCCCCAAUCAGUACAUUUUCAAUCCCACGUCUCAGAUGAGAGCCUACAGGGAAAGAAAGCAAGUAGAGAGGUUUGGAGCAGACAUAGCCCUGAAACAUCCUGAAGGCUCUAUGGAUCAGCACAUGGCUCCUUCUGCUUGAGUUCAUUCCAAACAAAUCCAUUAAAAGCACCAUCUUAAUGAAUAUUUUAUACAGUUACGACAUAGUGAGUCCCAUUUAGGAGGGGCUCGUACUAAAGGCUGAGACAAUGAACUACUCAAAUAGCCAACUAAUCAGCAAGGCCAAUAGAAAUCUGGUCGAGGGCACAAUAGUUUCACAGAAAGAAAAAAAAUGAAAGCCAUAUACCCUCUUCUUGCUGGUUUAAGAUUAAAAAAAAAAAAAAAAAACUCUACCUACCAUGUUCAAAUACUGCCAGCCAUUAGGAAAAGUCAGCUGUUUGAGUAAUUCAUUUGUUUUCCUUGGCCCCUUCACAGCUUCUGAAGAAAGUCAAUGUACAAUUUGCUUGUUUCUGUUAGAUUAGGUUCUAUCUUUGAGCUCUUAGUAAACAUGCACAUACUCACACUCAAACACACACACAUGCCUUAACCUACUUCCCCUAGAAACAAACUGGAGGAAGGAGAGAAUCCUCAGGAACAAAUUCAGUGAUACCCCAGGUGCUGUUUCCCCAAGUCUUGCCCCUGACACAGGAGAACCUGGUGUGAUUCAAGGACUUUGGAGGAGAAAAAGGCUGAUCCUACAAUCCGGAGAGCAAAUCGGUGGCCUGGGUGUCAAUGCACCCUGUGGAUGGAUUCUGUUUGCUCUGCCAGCCUUGAUUUGCCUACUGAUUUUGUUGUUGUUGUUGUUUUAUUUGAGACACGGUUUGACUCUUGUUGCCCAGGCUGGAGUGCAAUGGCACAAUCUUGGCUCACUGCAACCUCUGCCUCCCAGGUUCCAGUGAUUCUCCUGCCUCAGCCUUCCAAGUAGCUGGGAUUACAGAUGCCUGCCCCUACGCCUGGCUAAUUUUUUGUAUUUUUAGUAGAGACAGGGUUUCUCCAUGUUGGCCAGACUGGUCUCAAACUCCUGACCUCAGGUAAUCCACCCGUCUCGGCCUCCCAAAGUGCUGGGAUUACAGGCGUGAGCCAUUAUGCCUGGGUUUGCCUACAGUUUUUAAGAAAUUUUAAUUCAUUUUUAACAUUUAAAAAUGUAGAGCUUUCACAAACUUUUCUAGGUUUCUGAGUUCUCUUGAAAGAUGAAGAGAGCUGACUGACAUCACAGAGUCUAAUUUCUGUACAGCCACAGUCACCUGGAGCCAAGUUGUAGCUGGGAAAAGAACUGGGAUUCCCACUUCCCAGCCUCCACGGUGUUUCCCCAAACAGAAACACAGGAUCCAUUGGCAUUUGUCACUACCCUUAUGUGGCUGUUUUCCUUAGAGUUAAAAGGAGAUCAAGGUAUUUUUUUAUAUCAACAUCUCUAUCUAAUGUGGGAAAGUGAAUGGCAGAUUAGGAUAGGCAUGUAUUUAAAGAAAAAGGAGAGGAAACCAUAAGCCUAAUUCUGUGUGGGAAUAAAGACUAUGCAUUUGUGUUUGGUUUAAAGUAAGGUUCUCACCUGGUCCCUGUGGGCAUUUGAGAUUGACACCCUGGUCUAAAGUUACUGACGAUGUCUGGAAAUUGGUCUUUAGGCUCUGUUUUCAUUCCCAUAGUUCCAGGUGGCUUCCUUAGUACUUGGCCCAUUGCCAGGCAUGUAGGAGAUGUGCCGAAAAAUAAAAUGCAUAAUGAACUAAAAUUACAUUGCACCCUUUUCCCCUCUUCAUUUGAACAGAUUUCUGGGCACCACCUACCCCAUGGUACCAUCCUCCUUUGUUGCUGAUUUAAGAAUCCUUUUAGAGCCUUUUUUGCAGUCUAUACAGCUUUACUUCAGGACCAAUCAGACUGGAAAGAGCCUGAUAAUGGGAUCACAUAGAUACUUUAGUGACUGGUUUGAUAAAGUAUUCACUUAGAGACCAGCCAAACUUAGAUUUAAAUUCCAACUUUGCCACUCAUUGUCUUAACCUGGGUUUCCCAAGAGCAGGGCCUGAGAUAAAGAUGUGUGUGGAGGCUUAUUAAGGAAUGUGAUCCCUGGAAUAAGGGGCGGGAAAGUGAAGAGGGAAGGAGGAAAAAGCAAUGCAAGGAAGCCUGAACUGCUGCAGGCAAUUGGUUACCUCAUACAGGAGCUUCCGAGGAGCCUUCUGGAAUGUGUGUUGCAUUCAUCGGCCAGCAACAAUGGCCUUUACCAGCUCCUGCCCACAGCCCCGGGGUAUAUCAAUAUCCUCAUGCAACCAAAGGAAGCCAGAGAAAGUGGCAAGGCCAAGAAGAUGUGAGGUGCUGUGCAAAAGAUGUCCUAUACAAUGACCUUGGUUGAAUUACUUCAUGUCUCAAAACCUCAGUUUCUCCAUCUGUAAAAGGGUAAAACAUUAGUGUUUCCCUUUUAGAGAUGAAGGGAGGAGGUAAUGAAAUAAUUCAUGUAAAGCCUAAUAAAAUGCAUAGCACAUAGUACAUGUUAAUAAAUGGCGAUUUCUAAUAUUCUAAGAACUGUGCAUCCUGGAGGACUUUAUCUGAGAGCUUAUAGCAAAAAUCAAUGAAAGUGAACAAUAGUAAUUACAGUCUCAGCAUUCGCCUAACGAGAUGGCAAACUGGCUGCUACUAAGCCAAUUCUGUCUCAUAAACGUGUUCUUUUGCACCCUCCCCAUGCUAUAUAUGUGUAUACGACAUAUAAUAUAUGUAUAACAUAUAUUUUUAACAGAAAUUGAUUUUUUGCCAACACUUAAAUUUCAUAAAAUUUCAAUAAAAUAAGAUUUCUAGCUUAACCUUGACAAAUAGAAAGAUUUGGCCCCGCCGGGCUAGUAUUCCCACAGCCAGCUACAGUUGAGUAGUGGUGACACUUUCAGCUGGGGCACAUCUUCUCCAAUUAUCCACCAUCCCUCUGUGUCCACUUCACCCAUUCACAACCUGUCUGCCCCCAUCGACAUUUGCAUUUGAAGCCCCUAGUCUGAUCUUUAACCUAGAAAAGCAGGGUCCCUGGAAACUCAGCCAGGACCCAGGGACAGAAAAUGCCUGGAAACAACAAGGUUUUGUUUUCCAGUAAGAAAGCAGAAGAGCCACACGAGGGCCAGGGCCGUGGGACUCAAUGUCCCUGUGAUGGAGAGCUAAGUGGAUCCUGCUGAGGUGAGAGUGUGUGGUUCCAGCGAGGCUGGCUAUUACCAACCUGAGGCUGAGGUCACCCCAGCUGCUCCUGGCGCCUGCAACUCUGUUUAUUUCAUUCUGGUUCAUACCAGAGAUUUAUUUUUAUGAACAGUGAACAUUUUUUGUAACAUUCCCUCAUUUAACCUUCAUUAUCAAAGUCUCUGCCCAAAGCCCAUAUAAGCACCAUUAUUGCCCAUAUAACAUUUUCCAACACAAACCAUUUAAGGCAUUUUUUUCCAUUUUUAUUUAUUUCUCUUCUGUUACAUUUCAUUUGAAAUGUGCAUGGGGGAGAAUGUGUCUUGUUUUUAUGUUGUCUCAUACAGACCAUAAGCCCUAAUGGUGGGGGCUGCCUAUUUUGGAGGUUAAUAAGCAAUGGGGACAUUCGUCAUAUGGAACAAACAACCAGGAUAUGCUGGCCUCUUAAAAAAGGACUAGAAAGGAGUUGUGUAUGACUGAGGAAAUUGAAAAGAAAAUAACCCAGCUUUUUUGUGUCUUCUGAAAGCCUAGAAAACAAGAAGCAUGGUGGCUCCAGAGCAGGAAGCUGGGAGUAUUAGGAGCACAGUGCUGUAGGCUUGCUUCUCAGAUCACCCAUUAAUAAGCAGAUUCUCCAUGGAGGGUGACAGUAUGCCACGUAUCCCUGAAUCCUCCAUACCUGGCCACUGUCUGGUCCACGGUGGGUAAUUAAACAGUUUAUACUAUGGAUCUUAGAAACUCAAAUGACAUAAGAAAAAUUAGUAAUAUAUUGGCUCACAUAGUUGGAAAGUUCAAGUUCUUCAGGCAUAGCUGUAUGCAAAAACUAAAAUAGUGUCUGCUAUGAUCUGAAUGUGUCCCCCAAAAUCCAUGUAUUGAAAUGUAAUCUGCAUUGUGCUAUUAAGAGGUAGGGCAUCAUGAUGGCCCCGCUCUCAUGAAUGGUUUAGUGCCUUAUCAAAGGGCCAGAGGCAACUAGCUUAGACCUUUUUUACUCUUCUGUUCUUUGGCCAUGAAGGUACAUAGAUUUUGUCUCCUUUUUGCCCUUUUGCCAUGUGAGGAUGCCACCAUGAGGAGACCCCAUGGAUGGACAGCAGGCCCUCACCAAACACCAAAUCUUCUGGCACCUUUGUCUUGGAUAUCCUGGACUUUGGAAGGGUUUCUGCAGAUACUUUUUACAUUGCAGAAUAAAUAAGACAGCCUGUUGGAACACCCAUAUGGUAUGGAACUGAGGGCAGCCUCAAAAGUGGCCACCAGCUGAUAGCAAAGAGCCAAAAGGAAGCCAGAGCCUCAGUCCUACAACUGCAAAAAAUAUAUUUCUGCCAACAACCUGAGUGAUGUUGGAAAUGGACUCUUCCCCAGCAGGCAUUCACAACUGCUAAUCAUGAAUAUAUCUCAAGAAAGAAGUGAUUGUCGAUAAUUAUCCCCUAAAGCCCACCUCAUGCAAUACCAAAAAUGAUAGGCAGAGAGGGACAGAUGACUUCCUCUUUGCUUGGUCUGUAAGCACAAUGCAUCUCCAAACCAUCCUCUGCUUAGACUUCCCAGGAAGCCUUCAGUGAUUCUAAAUCAGACACAUCAAUGCUCCACUUGAAUACCUUCAAGUGCCUCACAGUGUUCUUAGGAUGAGGAACAGAUGAUGACUUGAGGCCCUGCAGGAUUUGGUUGUGCCAACCUCUGACCUCAACCCCUCUCGCUCCCUCUUCUCCUUGUGUUCUGACCCACAGUUCUUUCUGGUUCUCCAACACACCAGGUUCCCUUUCCCUGGGGUCCCUUGCACUUGGUGACCCUCCUGUCCAGAAUGUUCUGCUCCAGACCUCUGAAUGUCUGGAUUUUUCUUAACAUUGAGCCAGAGGAAGACCUACCAGACCAUCCAACCUCAAUUACUCCCUCCUCACCUGUCACCCUCCAUCCAUCACAGCACCUGAUUUAUUUUCUUUAAGUCACUUACCCUUCUCUGAGAUCAUUCAUGUAUUCAUUUUCUUAUUUCUAUCCAUUUUUCCUGGCUAGAAUGUAAGUUCUGCAAGAGAGGGAUAUUUCAAAUAUAGGUGAUUGAUUUAUCUGUAGUGCUAAGAUUGCCUGGCACAUAGUAGGUGCUUAGUAAAUUAAUCAGAGCAUGAAUAAAUAAAUGCACAUUUUGUUAUCUAGGGCAAAGGAGACUCAUAUCUUGCCAUCCUCCGAUGGUUUAGCCAAGCUAUAAAAUGACCAGAAUUUCUACUUUGAUUCACCUUCCAGUUGCUGAAUUGUAAUUCCUAAAAUUCACAGCCAAGCACUAUCAGGUGACCACAGACUCCAAAAGGUAUCAUAAAUUGCUUCAUAUGUGUUCUUCUGGGGCUUAGGCAAUGAACUUGAUAUUUACUGUUUGGCAAAGUCUUUCUGUUUUACUUUGUUGGUAGGUGUAAGUUGAUUUUUGCAGCCAAAAACACCUCUUUCUGGCUGGCUUCCCUGUUUUUCCUCCUUUUACUAGCAUACCCUGGAGUAGUAUAACCAAGCUGAGGUGAGUUAUGUGCAGGGAAAUGGGCCUUAAUGAAUAGAAAAUCCAUGGAAUUCAUUUGAUGUUAGCACAUUAACACUCUCUUUGCCAAGUCUUCCAAAUUUCAACUUUUCUGCACACAAAAAUAAAAAUAUUGGAGGAAGGUAUAUCUCUUUUAAGACCAUGAUCUUGGAAAUACAUAAGCAAUUCCAUACCCUUUUUUGUAGUGAAACGUGCUCAAAAGCAGUCAACCAUCAUCAACAAACCCCAGACUCAAAUGUCAACAAGCCCCAUUGGCAUAAUAUAUUGGCAGGGGCUUGGGCCAUGACGUCAGGUAUACUAGGUGCUGUGGCUUAUUGGCUGUGGAUCUGGGGCAAGGAACUUAGCCUUCCUAAGUCUCAGGUUCCUCAUCUGUAAAUUCAGGGCAAUAAUAGCACCUGUGUCGUAUCAUUAACCAUUGUUAAGAUGAAAUAAAAUAGAUGUCAGGUGCCUAGCUUAUUACUAGCAUGGAGUAACCAUUCUAUGCAUGUUAGCUGAAAACUAAAUAAAUUAACUAAAUAAGUGUCAUUCCCCUCUCCCUCCUUUUUAGAUUUCAUUUCCCUACCAUGCUCUUCCAUGCUAUGCUCUCCUUCAAGAAUGCUGAAUGAUGGGAUCGAUUUGGAGAGAAAAAUAGGCCCAGUUACAAUUGGGGUCCAGCCUGGAGCUAUCAUUUUCAUAUCAGAAAUUCCCUGAUAUACUGUAGAACAUAGUCUCUCACCCACCAAAUAGAGAUAAUAAUAUACCCUGCAGGCUGAAUAUGGAGUCGAAUUAUUCUCACGAGUCUGUUUCCUGCAAGAUCUUUUGCCAGGUCCUGGACAUAUUACAUUAAAAAAGACAUGGGCCCACCCCCACGGAUCCCACAGACUCACUUCAAAUCUCAAUUCUGUCUCUGCCUGGCAAAAAUGUGAGCCAGUCACUGGGCUUGCUGAGCCUCGGCUUUGUCCUUUAGAAACGGAUAUCUGGCCUCCUACACCCUCUGUGCUGAAUGGGACUUCAAUAAGAUAAAGCAUUUCUAGUGGUCAGAAUCCAACUCUGGAUAACUGAAGCAGGAAGAUAUUUUUAGAAGUUUAUCGGGUUACUCAAACUACCAACCCAAAGGCUGGAAAACACACAGUAUCCAAGGGCCUCACAGCUACUUGCAAAAGGAACGCCUGCAGAGAACGUAGUCACUGCUAGAUACCAAGGCCCUCACCACAGAAAGUUGCAGCCACCACCAGGAAUAAUUGAUUCCCUCCAAAUUUACAUCCUGGCUCACAACCCAAAGGCCCAGAGAGGAACAUCCAGUUGUCUGAGCCUAGAUCAUGAGUCCACUCUCCAGCUGCCAGGGGUUGGGGAGAGGGAAAUCGAGACACUGUCAGUUUCCAAAGUGGGAGGUAAGCACUGCCUUCCUCCAUCCCCCAGGUUGAAGGAUUAUGUGGGUGCUGAGCAGUCCCCCAAUGCCAAAUACCCACUGAAGGAUAUGAAAGUACUUUGCACGCCACGGAUAGCUGUGUCUUUCUGAAUCAUGCUGACUAGGCAGAGUUCAACCACCUAUGAGUAGGGCUAAUGAGAACCACAGACCUAAGGAGCACGUUCAUUGUGCUUUAAAAGAAAGAAGAAUGAAUUAUCCAUACUCAAAAGAGAUUUACUGUAAGAGCCCACGGGCAUUUCCUAGAAAAAUUCCAAUAGUUUCAUGCUGUUAGGACAAGGCAUUUGUGUAACUUCUACAGGGGAAAUGGCUUGGUGCUUUAUUCACUAAUAUCAACCUGUCAUCUCGUUACUAUUGAUCAGCACUGGCUGGCCACCGGCAUGUUGGGAGGGAGCUGGUUCCUCAAAGGUCGGCCCUGACCUGAAAAUCCUCCUGCCCAGUGCCAGGUAGUUUCUGAGAGCUCCAGAAAAUUCUCCAGCCAAUGCUGUCUUCCCCUAUAGCCUCCUCUGCCUCAGAGGGUGAAAAAAAAAAAAAAAAAAAAAAAAAAAAGAGUGACUCCAUGUAUGAAUUGAGAGAGAAAGGUAUUUUAAACACUGCUGGGCACUGUCUUAACAGCUGCCUUCACUCGGUAAAUAUAUUUGUUACACGGUGCCAGGAAAUUGUGAAGGAGAGAGCAGAAGAGGGAGAAACAAUAGCUAUCUUUGGAGCCUGAAGUCUUGCUUGGAGUCACUCACCACCCUGGCACCAUGCCAAAAGCACGCUUUUCCCCACCAUCUCAAUCCUCCAAUGUACCCCUGCAUCCUUUUAUAAUAAGCAGCCUUGAGUGCUGUCAUUUAAUACCCAUACACAGGGCUCCCCAGAGCUUGGAAACUCUUGCAACUGUCUCCUUGAUAGGCAUCUAAGAAACAAAUGAGGAGAAAGGAUGUCUAAAGUCUCCAUUAACAUUGUUAGGUUAGAAACGUUGACAAUAAGUCGAUUCUUUUUGACAUGACUGUCCUGGUAAUGAAGGGACAUUUCUACAUGACUCUUCCUAAUGUAAGAUAAGAUAUGGAUGGCCUCUGAUUUUUCUGACACAUGUCCAGUAUAUCAAAGGGGUGGGGACUGGUAUAAGAAAAUGGGUUGUUUCAGUGACACAUUAAUAGAAGCCCUGGUUGGGAGAUGAAUGAUAAUGCUACCUUGGGCUUGAGUGUUCUGGCAGCUCACCUGGGAAUGUAAGCUGGAAUUCCUAGAAGAGGGGGUUAGAAAACCCAGGGGCCUCCACUUAACACCCAGAUGAAGUCCCCUCAUUUGCCCAUAGAAUCAUAGAAAA